rnacentral:tRNA from 1 species
GAAGCAGAAGCUUAUACAAGCGACCGCCUGUUAAGCGGUCAACAACAUAGUUUAUGUCGCUUCC